GACACGCUGGCGGCGUGCUUAACACAUGCAAGUCGAACGGUGACGAGGAGCUUGCUCCUCUGAUCAGUGGCGAACGGGUGAGUAACACGUGAGCAACCUGCCCCAGACUCUGGGAUAACAGUUGGAAACAGCUGCUAAUACCGGAUACGAGACGGAGAGGCAUCUCUACCGUCUGGAAAGUUUUUCGGUCUGGGAUGGACUCGCGGCCUAUCAGCUAGUUGGUGAGGUAAUGGCUCACCAAGGCGACGACGGGUAGCCGGCCUGAGAGGGCGACCGGCCACACUGGGACUGAGACACGGCCCAGACUCCUACGGGAGGCAGCAGUGGGGAAUAUUGCACAAUGGGCGAAAGCCUGAUGCAGCGACGCCGCGUGAGGGAUGAUGGCCUUCGGGUUGUAAACCUCUUUCAGCAGGGAAGAAGCGAAAGUGACGGUACCUGCAGAAGAAGCACCGGCUAACUACGUG
rnacentral:rRNA from 1 species